AGCUCCAAUAGCGUAUAUUAAAGUUGUUGCAGUUAAAAAGCUCGUAGUUGGAUUUCUGGUGGGAGCGAUCGGUCCGGCGCUUUGCGCGGGUACUGGGUUGUCUCCGGCCAUCCUUGGGGAGAGCCUGUCUGGCAUUAGGUUGUCGGGCAGGGGAUCCCUAUCUUUUACUGUGAGAAAAUUAGAGUGUUCAAAGCAGGCUUAUGCCGUUGAAUAUAUUAGCAUGGAAUAAUGACAUAGGACCUUGGUACUAUUUUGUUGGUUUGCGCACCGAGGUAAUGAUUAAUAGGGACAGUCGGGGUUAUUCGUAUUUCAUUGUCAGAGGUGAAAUUCUUGGAUUUAUGAAAGACGAACUACUGCGAAAGCAUUUAACAAGGAUGUUUUCAUUAAUCAAGAACGAAAG
rnacentral:rRNA from 1 species